AAUUUCUCGUACAUGUAAACUGUGUUCCAUAAUUUCUCGUACCUGUAAACCCUGUUGUUAUCACAUGCGUCAAAUAUCAUACAAACACUGACCCUUCACACAAAAAAAGGACAAAAAAAGAAAAACAAGAACUUAUCCGAAUGAUGUGAAAGUACAGCAACAAGCAGAACCAAAGCUUCACAAAAAUCACCUUACAAUCUAAAUAUGGCUUCCCCAAGUUGAUACUUUGCUUCUUUUCUUGUUUGUCCGGUUGUGUCGCAUGUCAUAUUGUCUACAGCUUCAGUUUGGCUUUUCAGUGGGCAAGAUCUAUGUUCAAUGAUGAUGAACCUUUGGCCUUCAAGAAAAUGCACGAAUUUUCUGCGACGGAUGGCUUUUAAGAGAUAACUGAAUCCUUGGCAGGCAUGAUAAAGUUCAUCGCAAAAUGAGCCUUCCAUGGGUCUUUUCUACAUUCAACAUCAUACUCAGAGUGCAGCUCCCAACCUAAUCAAUCUCAAGAACAAUAUUGAGGAAAAAUCUCGUGAAGUGACUUUGAACACGGAAGAUUCAGAGGAUUCUAUUACCAUGAUUAGGUCGAUGAAAGAUUGUGGUGCCCCAAUUGCUAAUGAGAUGAUUAAAGAUCUGAGACAUUCUCUAGCUGUUGUAUCGAAGAAUAAGCAAUUGAGAAAAGGGUUAAUAAGGCCGUCCAAGUCAACUUUUCAGUUAGGGCGAACUAGUUCUUGGAGUCCUGCCACUUGGGGUCGAGUACAGUUCCACAAUGGAUGGUGAGAGUGGUUAUCUCUCCAAUAUUUUCAUGUCAGAGGCGGAUCUAGAGUUUAAGGUCAAUGAAAGAAAAAGCUAAUAGCUUCAAGUGGUCUCAACUAGAGUACAAAGAAUCUGAUGUAACCUAUACUUAUAAUGCACUUUCAGUUGCAGCGGCCGGAUCUUUGUUCUCAGUUUCAGAGGCGAAUGAUGAAGAGUUGCCAUUAUCAAGUCCAACUAAUAAUGACCUACAAGUGAUGCAGGUGAAUAUAAGCAUGCCCAAUAAUCAACUGCUCUCUUCAUCAGAAAAGUAUGAAGAAGUUAUGGCUGAUAAAGAAGCAAAAUUGGUGGAGUGGUUGGAAGGGAUUGGUAAUCGUAAUGCGGGUCCCGGAGAAAAUAAGCUUGGUUAAAUCUCAACCUGAAAUAUACUUCUCUCACUAGGGAGAGCUUUGAUCGUAUCAAAUAUUCAUUAUCUUUGUACUAAAAAAAUAAAUGUUAUAGAGAGAUUUUUAUAGUAAGGGAAAAAGAAAUGAAAG